CACCCCCAGCCUGGGUGAGGUGUUUUCGCCAGAAUUGCAGCAGCUGCGGCUGGAGGCCUCUUCCCAGGAAGAGCAGAGCGCCUCUUCCAAGAACUCAGAGGAGGCCGCAGGCGGGAGGGGGAGCGGGGGAGUUAAUUUUAAACCACACUGCCUUCAACGCUUCUCAGGAACCGGUUGCUCAACGUGAUCUGGCAGGUCCCAGGAGGCUGGGCAGGCCUGGUGCCAGCUCAGAGGUGGCGGGUGGAGGACACGCCCCAGGGGGAAGCCCGGUGACUUUGAGGGAAGUUAGGCCCUGUCCUUGACCACUUAUCAGGGCCUGUCCCCCAUUCACCUGACCCAACUCGCUGAGGGUGUGUGAGGUGAGGUGGUUCAUUCAGUUCUAACCAGACAAGGUAAAAUUAUAACAGGAUUAAUAACACAAGUGUCACGGCUUUCCAAGUCCCCCAAGACUGACGACCCUAUUCCGCUUCUGUGCUCAGACCUUGCUGCCUGUCCUGCACCCUGGCCUGUCCUCUGGAAGUUAUCUGAUGAGGGCCUACUCUGAGGCAUCUUCCCCUGCAUCUUACCUCACCCCUCCAGCUCCCGCUUUACCAUGAGCCCAUGGAGACAUGAGUCCCAGGAGAGCUCUUUCUCUGGUCUCUCUUACAGCAAGAAGUACCUGUGGGCACACCUGGAGCAUAGGCCUUGAUGUUUGCAGUGCUCUGGGCAAAAGAACAAAUGGAGGUCCACAGACCAGAAUCUAAAUAUUAAACCACCAUAAAUCAAGCUGCCCAUAAAAUGUGUUCUAUCCUCCUACUGAACAAAUAAGCUUUCAUAGCAGUAAAA